rnacentral:lncRNA from 1 species
AUCGCUGGGUGUUGAAAGAGUUUUCGUCAACCUUCUUCACGAUCGUGCUCGCAGGAGGAGAAAUUCCGGUCAUACAUUGGGGUGUUAUUUCCGGUUAAUCCCGCACGUAAGGACGGAAUACGGUUUAGGGCAGUGCCUCGCACGCUUCCGGAUCAAUUAAGUAUUUAUUUGGAUUUAGCGAUUAUCUGUAAGUUGAUUUAUUUAUUUUCAUAAUAAAAUUUAGUUAGAUUUAAAUCACAAUUAGAUUUCUGUGCGGCAUUUGUUCCAACAAUCUAAGGCUUAUUUCAAUCUGAUUGUGAUUAAAAAUUCAACAGUCUAACAAAUGCUAAUCCGUAUUAAAUUAAUUUUAUAUGCAUAUAAUUUACUUGUUAAAUUGUUUGUAUGAUUGGCAUUCAAACAUAAAUUUUUUCGGGAUUAACACUUUAACCUAUAAUUGCAUAUUAUUUAAUUUAUUAUUAAAGUUACAAUUUAUUUGGUGAUUAUUGUUUUUUUAAAAAUUGCCUUUACUGUAGCUAUUACUACAACAGAAUUAGGUUAUAGGGACACAUGUUUGGGACACUUUUGAGUAAGUGUCCUAUUUAUGCUAAAACUUAAAAACACAUCUACUAAUGCCUAAAUAUAAAGCCCAAUCCAACCAAAUAAAUUGUAACUUUAAUAAUAAAUUAAAUGAUAUGCAAUUACAUGUUAAAGUGCUAAUCUCCAAAAAAUUUAUAUUUGAAUAUCAAUCAUCCAAACAAACGAAUUAAAUACAUAUAAAAUUAAUUUAAUACAGAUUAGCAUCCGUUAGAUUUUAAUCACAAUCAAAUCGGAAUGCGCCUUAGAUUGUUGGAAUAAGUACCGCACCGAAAAUCUGAGUGUGAUUAAAAAUCUAACUAUUUUUGUGAUAAAAAUAAAUAAAUCAAACUUACAAAUAAACGCUAAAAUCUAAAUAAAUAAUUUGAUUGAUCCGGAAGAGUGCGAAGCAUUGCCCUAAUGCAUAUUCCCGUUCUUCGUGCGAGAUUAACCGAAAACAUCGUCCCAAGGUACGACCGGAACUCCUCCUCCUAUGAGCACGAACGCGGAAGAGGUUGACGGAGACUCUUUCAACACCCGAUGAUAAACGAAUCAAAUCGAAUGGAUUAAAACAAUAGAAAAAAUUAAACAACUCUUAACAGUCUUUCUCUUUCUCUCUCGAAAUUGCUUUCUCACAGUCAUGAUGAACUCAUGAACAGUGAAGCCCUUUUAUAAUGAAUAGAGGGUCAUAGAUCGAACGUUGCACAGUGGAACGUUGGGAGACUUGAGCGCCUGCCUAUGGAACGGUCGUCCGCUUCUCGCGCGUGAACGCGAGUGGAGCGGGAGCACGCGUAACGAUGCACGCAAGGCGCAAGCCGAAACGUCCGCAAUAAUAAAAACUUAAGUUAAUUAAUAAUAAAAUUAAAUAAUAAUAAUAAUAAUAAAUUAAUGAAUUAAAAAGUAAAAUAAUUAUUGGGAAAUUUUGAAUUUUUUGCCAACAAUCAUAGCCAUGGAGGUCUCUAAUGCUUCUCGCUGUGGCUAAUAACCCCUUUCUUUUCUCUAUAAUUACAUUCCAAUGUUCUUUCCUCAAUUUGAUUAGUUGUGUUGGAAAUAUUAGGGCAGCGGAAACUUACAAACCGUAUAGCCAACGUAUCCGGGAACCGGAAUCGGAUAGGAUUGCUUGUUUUACAAGCAUUCUUGGAUCGUCCUUGCGUUGAUGCUUCUGGAUCUCCCACGUUUCUCGCCGUCUUCCAUGCGUACGCCUUACGUCACGGAUCGGAUGCGUCGGAUACGGAUGUGAUGCAACGGAUGUCAAUCGAAGAGGGCUACCAGAGUCCUCUUCUAUGUCCACACUCCAAACCCCCCGGGAACGUAGGUGGAAAUUCCAGAGAGGAAGAAAUGAGAGAAUAAGGAAGAUUUAUCGUAGAUUCUUUCGAAUUAGAUCAUGUUCGAUCGUCUCUUAUGGGAGAGAAAAGGGGGACGCAUUUAUAGAAUAACGGAAACCCUAAAAAUAUCCUGAAUCUCACAAAGAGAUUAGGAUAAGGACUAGGAUUAGGAUAUCCAUAAUAGAUAUCCACUAGAAGAUAUGUUUCUUAACUAAUAAGAAACAUAUAAUUUAUUCUUAUCCUUAACUUAUUAGGAUAAAUCUCAAUCCACAUCUCAAGUAGAUCGGGUUAAAUUAAGACCCGCCAAUGUGGACAUACCACAUGGCAACAAUCUCCCACUUUGCCACAUUGGUCAUUUCUCUCUCACUUAUUUAUCUCUUCAUACGGGAAAUGGAGUGUGCGACCUAACGAAAGAAAUACAUGCAGGAGUGCUAUAUUAAGUCACCACCCAAUUAACAUAGCACAUCACUGACUUAAUUCGUCUAUGCCUUAGACGUUUCAACACACAUCGGAUCAAGCAUCACAAAGUCCAUCUCCUGUAAUGACAGGGCUCGACCCCAUAGUUAUUUUUCGUACUCAUGAUUAUCUUAAGUAACACAACUGAGAUAACCGCCCGGGCAAAGAGUUACAAGACUUACGUGGUGUAUUAUCGAAAUAUCUUCCUCAGCCCCCCACGUUAAUCCAUAUUGGUCCAAGCACUUUACUAGACAUGCUCCGCGAGAUCGUAUUUUCUCAUGAUCUUGAGAUACACGAUAAGUUAGUUACUUUGGACUUCCACUUCAUAAUGUAGUUCUAAGUCGAGGGCACUAAAGGGUUAGUGCUCACACGGUAAUAUAGAGGGAAGAACUUAUGUCACUCUACUAACUGGUCGACAAGCACAUACAGUAUGAUAUGUUUGCUAUGGCGGAGCUCCCACUUAAUGGGUCAUGUCACGCUUUAAAAAAAAAUGCCAUACGAACCUUGGUCUAGGUACCACUAAGGUAUCUAACUAUCACAACUCAAGUCAUCUCUCUAACCUGAGCACUUAGAUUCGGCUACUAUAAAGGCUCGAUAUAAAAUUUCACAAAAACUUUCAUAUCCGACUCUUGAGAGUCUCAUCUUAAACUAAUUAAGACGACUUUUAAAUUAUAUCAACACUUCAUUCAUAACAUAUAUGAACAAAGUAAUCAUAUUACAGCUACUCAAGUUUAAUAUGAUUAUUUAGUCUCAUCCUGCUCACCACCUAGGUGCCAGGGCGAUCACCCGUGUGAGUGGGCUGAUCUCAGCUUGGUGACUUAUCGAAUAUGUGCAUACUAGUAUCAAUUACGCAAUCAAAUUAAAAAGAGAAAAAUAUUUUUUCAUUAAUAAAGCGUAAGAUACAAAAAAAUGUCCAUAUAUCAAAACCUGCAAAGACCCAAACUCCUAACGUGGGUCUAGAACAUAUCCCUUGCUAUCGGCUUGGUCAACAUAUCAACCACCAUCCUAGUGGUGGAGAUAUGUCUAAGAACGAUCUCGCCUAGCCGAAUCAUAUCUUGAAUGUAGUGAAAACGGAUGUCUAUAUGCUUGGUCCUGCCAUGAUACUUGGGAUCUUUCACAUACUCUAGGGAAGCCAUGCUGUCAGAGAACAUCUCAACAGGCUUAUCAGCUCGAGUCACAAAGUCGAGGUGCUGGAAAAAUCUAUUCAGCCAAACAGCCUCCUAGACGGCUGCUGAAUAAGCAACAUACCCCGCUUCGAUAGUAGACAAGGCAACACAGCCUUACUUCUUACUGUACUAGGAAAUUGCCUCGCCUCUAAACACAUAGCCUAAAGUGGACCUGCACUCAUCUCUAUUACUGCCCCAAUCAGCAUUACUAUAUCCUUUCAAACUAAAGUCCCCAGCUUGGAAGUAGAGAACGAGAUCACUGGUUCCUUUUAAAUAUCGAAGGAUUCUCUUCACCGCUUACCAAUGAAUGGGUCCUGGGUUGAUCUGGUAACGACUUACCAAACCAACAGCGAAAUAAAUGUCAGGUCGAGUGCACAUCAUAGCGUACAUAAAGCUGCCAAUUGCACUCGCAUAAGGAACCCUACUCAUUUACUCAUUUUCUUUAUUCGUUUUAGGGCACUGAUCAAGACUCAGAGUGUGAUUCUUCUCCACAAGAGUGUCAACGGGUUUACAAUGAUGUAUUCUAAAAUGCUCAGAAUCUUUUUAAUAUAACUUUCUUAAGACAAACCAAGAAGCUUUCUAGAGCGAUCACGGAUGACCUUCACUCCGAGUAUAUAGCGAGUCACCUAUGUCUUUCAUUUCAAAGUUGAGAGACAACCACUCCUUAGUGGUAUUGAUUAACUCCAUGUCAUUUCCAGCCAAUAGUAUAUCGUCGACGUAUAGAGAGAGGAACAAAAUCCCAUUCUCUGUCUUCUUGACAUAUACACAGUGGUCCUCCUCUAUAAUGGACAUACCGAUAGAGGUGAUGGCUUCAUGAAACCUGAAAUACCACUGUCUCGAUGACUGCUUGAGACUAUAAAUAGAUCUUUUAAGACGACAAGCUUUGUCUUCUUGACCUUUGAGUAGAAAACCCUCAGCUUGAUCUAUAUAGAUCUCCUCCGCUAAUUCUCCAUUGAGAAAAGCUGUCUUGACAUCCAUUUGGAACAUUUUCAAAUCUAGGUGUGCUACUAAGGCUAGAAUCAAGCGAAUAGAGGCAAAUCGCACAACGGGAGCAAACGACUCGUUGUAAUCUGCCCCUUGCCUCUGAGUGUAGCCCUUAGCCAUGAGCCGAGCCUUAUAUUUAUCGAUUAAUUCAUCUACCUUGCGCUUAAUUUUUAAAACCUAUUUAUUUCUAAUAGACUUGCGCCCAGGCAGAAGGUCAACCAAUUCCCAUACUUGGUUCUUGCUCAUGGAGUUCAUCUCAUCUUUCAUAACAGUCAUCCACUCGCUGCAAGCUGAUGUCUGUAAUGCUUCUUUAUAAGAAACAGAUUCAUCAUUAUCGAGCGAACUGCAUAUGAAAAUAUCUCCUUCGAUCUCAAAAUGUCGACGGGGAAUAUGUCCACGUUCACUUCUACAUAAUGGAGGGUCUGAACUGCCGACUUCCAAGGGUAUGCUCUCAUUCAAGAAAGCACUCCCACUAGCCGGAGGAUCGCUACCACUUUCUUCAGCGACUUCGGGAAGUGAUCGAUCACCCUCAAUAGUAGAUGGGGUAGAGUCGUCCUGUAACUCAUACAAUCCGACGUCUUUUCGCAUUUCACCAAUGCUUGGAAAUUCCCCUUCUAAGAAUUCCACAUCACGAGACUCAAUCUUAGUCAUAUCACUAUCUGGGAUUCACCAUACAGCACAUAGCUUUUCGAAUUUUCAAAGUAUCUGAUGAACACAUGCUUGCUCGCUUUAGGACCGAGUUUUCCGAAUUUAUGUGAGGUGAUGUAAACAUAUCCAGCUGAACCUCAAGGGCGUAAGUAGUGUAAACUUAGUUUUUUACCACUCCACAACUCAUAUGGAGUAGAAGGCACUGAUUUGCUAGGGACUCGAUUAAGGAUAUAGGUUGCAGUCAAAAGAGCAUAUCCCUAAAAAUUUAUGGGAAGAUGCGCUUGCGCAGUCAUCGACCUAACCAUGUCUAACAGAGUACGGUUCCUUCGCUUUGCAACACUAUUUUGUUGCGGAGUAUCAGGAAUAGUGAGCUGUCUAUUAAUGCCCUUUUGCUCACAAUAAGUCUUGAACUGAUCAGACAAGUACUCACGACCUCGAUCAGUGCGAAGCGCCUUUACACUUCUUUCUAUUUGAUUCUCAGCCUUCGCAACGAAGUGCUUGAAGCAAUCUAAAGCUUCAGAUCGGCGAGAAAGCAAAUACCCGUAUCCAUAACGGAAAUAAUCAUCAAUGAAUUUGAGAAAAUAGCACGCACCAUGCCGGGCCCUCACAUUCAUUGGUCCACAAAUGUCUGAGUGGAUUAGCUCUAAAAAAUGAGAGGCACGAGUAGCCUUACCGAAAGGCUUUCUACAUGCCUUCCCAGCCAGACAAGGCUCACACACAGAUAGGUCAACUUUGGCGAGAGACCCCAAAAGGCCUUCUCAAGCCAAUCUAUUCAUUCUAUUUUGACCUAUAUGGCCUAAUCUGACAUGUCAUUUAACAGAUUCAUCACAGAAAUUAGAAAAAGAAGCAAAUGCAAAUGGAUAUCCUCCGAAUCUAAUUUAAAGAAACCAUCCGCUAAUGUACCAUAUCCAAAUUAAAGUAUCAUAAAAGGAAAUGUCUAGGCGGUCUCUGUCAAAAUGGCUCUACAAAGCUUUUCAACUCCACCACAGGGAGCUUGAUUUUUGACUCUUCUGCGCUCCAUUGUUGUGACACUUCUUGCACUUGGGUGUGAUCCUACCGCGCUUCUCAGAGUGUGCAACAAGAGCGACAGAACAGUUCACUUCUAAGCAUUCUGCCUCAAGCUCGAGAUGGCGCGAGAUGUCAUUAAAUGUUUUAAUAUUCUCGUUGUACGUCAUCAGGAGCUUCAUCUGGGACCAUUCAUGAUCCGGCAGAGAACGAAUCGCCGCUAGAACUUGUUGCUUAUUAGUGAGCUCGUUUCCAGCAGCUUAAGGUCCCGAAUCAUGGUGCUUAUCACAUGGAGGUGCUCAGCCAUUGAAUGCUUCGGGUCUUUAAUAUACUGUAGAAACUUGAGAUUUAAGGUACGUAGCCUCGUAGAUGAAGUUUGACUAAAAGUAAACUUCAGGUUGUCCCACAUGUCCUUGGCAGUUUCAAAGAUCUCAAACUGUCCAAUGAGGUCGUCUUGCAUGGCACACAACAUAGUGUACCGAGCAGUUCGAUCCUCCUUGAUCCAUUUGUUAUAGAUCUCUUUUUCAUGCUCAGAGGCUGUGCCUUCGGUAGGCAUAACUCUUUUGACAGAAAGAGUUUCAUGAACCUCUUGUUCAUUAAGCAAGUAUUGCAUUUUCCUAUGUCACAUAUCAUAAUUCUUUCCAUCUAGCUUAUCACCCAUGGUGAGAUCAGCUAUGAUAUUUUUGGAAGUCAAUUCACUACAUUAAAAAAAAAUAGGUUUGGACAUUAUGUUACAGGAUUUUAAGUUCGCAUAUUUCGUGAAGUAAGUCGGAGUCUUGAAGGUUUAAAGAAUGAGAGAUGAAGAUCGAAGACUCAAAAUAUGAAUCCACAAUACUCGGUAAGUUCAAAUAAUAUUGAUAAUGAUUUAUAAAUAUUUAAAGUUUGGAAGACUUAGGAUGAUUUUUAAAAUGUAAAACUGAAAAAUCCUUAGUUUUUCGAGGUUCGGGAUCCGGUCCCUGCCUUCAAGAUCAGGACCCUCAAGGUCCGGACCCCGUAGGUCCACUCUGCGUGUACGCAACGAGGAUUCGGACCCUACCUUCAAUGUCCGGUCUGGACCCUUCGGGAGGUUCGGACCCUGAGACCGUCUUUUGUUUUUAAAGUUUAAUUUUUCAAAUCCUAGUCUAAUCUCUAUGUCUUCUAGACCUAUAAAUAAGAUGUGGGCAUGUCUCUAAAAUAUGGUGAAGCCUAAAUUAUUUAUGAAAAACCCUAGAAGCUUGUAGGUAGCCGUUUUCCUCAUCUUCUACAAAAAGCUUCUCUCAAAUUGAUUCUUGGUGCCCUAAUGCUUGAUGUUCUCUAGAAUCAAUUUGAGAAUUGGUUAGAGAUUAUUCCCACAGUUUUUUAAUGAGAUUCUAAGCAAUAAAUCAUCACCGUUCGUAUUGUUCUUGCUCCGGACGGAGUGUGAUCAUGGAUUCGAGUGGGCAUCAUGGAUUCGGCGCGAUCAAGGCUUCGUGGAUUCGAAGUGUAGACGUCUUGUGGAUUCGGGACGUGGCGUUCGUGGAUUCGGACGUGGGGCAUGGACAACCCGUUGGUGUGCGCAAGAUCCGGAGAAGAUAAAAGAGAGGUUUGAGUCCGUGGAUUCGGUAAAUCACCUUGUAAUCUUUUAUUUCAUAAUGGAUUGUUAUCGCGUGUUGGUCCCGUGGAUUUUUUACUCCUUGUUGGAGUUUUUCCACGUAAAUCUCGGUGUGCUGGUUUUUAUUUUCCGCAUUUAUUUUUUAUCGCAUUGAGAUUUGUUGUUUUUGGCUUUUACACCUAUUCUCCUAUCUCUAGGUGUUUUGAUAGUAUUCUAGAUAAAAGAUCCUAAGGUUUCCGCAUAACUUACACAUUAGGCACAUAUUCAAAAAAUUAACAAGAUUGAAAUAUUAUCCUCGACAUAACGGGAUCGAAAACUUCGCUAUACUCGUAAUCAUCACCUAGUGUUGGUUCAAAAUAUUACAAUCUUAUUAAUUUUCUAUUAAUUUUGAAACUUAUCCAAAAGUUGGAUCAUCCAUUUUGAAAGAACAUAUCCUUUUCUUUUAAAAAAAAUAAUUAUUUAUUUAUUUUGAGAACUUAUCUCAUAAUAUCACCACACAGAUAAAAAAAUAAGUACUUAUGUCAAAAUUUAAAUUAAAAAAACGUCGACGCUGCGCAAAACUUAUUUCUUUACACGGCCUUAAUUAUUACAUCACUUUUUGCAUACUAAAACCAACUACCUCACUAUAAGAUGUACAUCAGAAAAGGAAUGUUCUACCGGAAUGCUACACACGUCGAACCCGUUUUUCCAAAAUUAAAUUUUGUUGAAAAAACACCGAAAUAACUUAAGUACUUAUAUGCCAAAAAUUUAUACAAUCACAUGCUACAUAAGCAAUUAAAAUGCACCCACAUGGGAUAAAUUAAACAAACGACACAUGCAUGUUCUAAAACUGGAAUAACAAAAAGUUAUAUAUCCCAAAAGAAUAUAACCACGCAGGAGAUAAAAAAAAUUUACCACACAGGAAAUUUUUUUUAAUUUUAAUGGGCAAAAAAUAAAAAAAAAUACUUCAUGAGCACAGUUAUGCCGAACAGAGGCUGCGUCCGCAUGUACACCGGACCGGGCCGGGCCCACAAGCCCGCCCGAGCGCUUGCGGCGCAUAGCAGACCGGGCCGAGGCCAAAAACCGCCCAAAUACUGCAAAGGCCGAGCCCCCGCACGCAGCAGGUCGGGCCGGGCCUGUAAGCCCGCCCGCAGCGCGCUGUGGGCUGGGCCAAGCCUACAAGUCACCGCACUGCUCACGGGUACGAAUCUGCAGCGGGUCGGCCCGUGCGCCGCGUGCGGGUGAGCUCCCGCAGCUGGCCGGGCCCGUGCGAGUGCGUCCCGCUCCUGCAGCCGGUUGGGCCCACGCAGGUGCCCCCCGCUCUCGCAGCGGCCCGGGCCCGUGGGGGUGCGCGCCAGCGCCCGUGGCGCGCUUGCCUUCCCCCGCGGGCAGCGGGCUCCCGUAUACGUGUCCGCUGUGCGCGGGUCUUCCAGCGCCAAUAGCAAGUGGGGCCGCAUUCCUGUGGGUGCGGCAGGCCGGGCUGGACUCGCAAGACCCCGCGCGCGCGCAGCGGCCGUGGCCUCGCCUGGGUGCCCCUCACAAUAUUUUUUUUUUUUUACUCACGAAAAACAAAAAAAAAGAAAUACAACUUAUGUAAAAAUUUUCGCAUGAUCAAUCUAAGAGAAAACUAAAACUAUUUUAGUUUUUUUUUUUUUCUUUUCCUUUAAUCGAUUUCACAUAGAAAACGAAAAAAAAAGAAAAAAAAAAAUUGUAGAACCAAUCUUAGAACAACUUGAUCAGCGAAUGCGAUCUAAAAAACAUCACAGGCAUGAUCACAAAGUGAAAACAAGCACACAUUCUCUGAUACCAAUUGUUGGAAAUAUUAGUGCAGCAGAAACUUACAAACUGGAUAGCCAACGUAUCCGAGAACUGGAAUCGGAUCAGAUUGUUUGUUUUACAAGCCUUCUUGGAUCGCCCUUGUCUCGAUGCUUCUGGAUCUCCUAGGUUCCUCGCCUUCUCCCACGCGUACGCCUUACGUCACGGAUCGGGUUCGUCUGAUGCGUCCAAUACUGAUGGGAUGCAAUGGAUGUCAAUCGAAGAGGGCUACCAGAGUCCUCUUCUAUGUCCACACUCCAAAACUCCGGGAACAUAGGUAGAAAUCUAAGAGAGGAAGAAAGGAGAGAAUAAGGAAGAUUUAUCGUGGAUUCUUUUGAAUUAGAUCGUAUUCGAUCGUCUCUUAUGGGAGAGAAAAGGGGGACGUAUUUAUACAAUAACGGAACCCCUAAAAAUAUCCUGAAUCUCACAAAGAGAUUAGGAUAAGUACUAGGAUUAGAAUAUUCAUGAUAGAUAUCCACUAGAAGAUAUAUUUCUUAACUAAUAAGAAACAUAUAAUUUAUUCUUAUUCUUAACUUAUUAGGAUAAAUCUCAAUCCACAUCUCAAGUGGAUCGGGUUAAAUUAAGACCCGCUAAUGCGGACAUACCAUAUGGCAACAAGUUGGAUAUUUUUUUCGAUUUUGAUAGGGAACUCGUUUUCUUUUUCCCUUUUUUCUUUUUGAAUUUUUGCGUUGUUCUUUUUUUUUUAAGAAAUAGGUAGCACGUUACCCGCUUCGUUUAUUUCAUUUAGAAAUAAACUUAGCUGGAAAUGUGAAUCAACUAGGAUUCGAACUUGAAACCUCGGGUACCAACCAUGAAGCCUUUUGCCACUUGCUCUAGGGACGGUCGAUAAAUUUUUGCGUUGUUGUUAGUUCAAUGAUCUCGGCUGUGUGUGUGUUUGUGUGUAUUACUUAGUUGGGGCUUGCACAGUUGCACCCAUUGCUUUUCAAAAAAGAAAAAAAAUAUAAAAAAAAUCCAAAUGUAGGACCCCGGCCCUUACCCACAGGCUAUUUCCAAAAUGGUUCCCCCAGGAUCUCUUCUAAUUGACUCCGGACAUGAUAAUUUAAAUAAAUUUAAAUUUUCAAUAAAUUGAACAUUAAUUUUGUAAACCUUAUGAAGUCUAAUUAUUUUUCAAUAAAUAAAACUAAUUAAUUAAUAUCGAAUAGAUAAAGGAAGGCCAAUUUGCAUAAAAAAUUCACUUAUUUUGGGGUUUUGCAAAACCGGGCCACCUUUUUCCUUUUUGCAGAUUCGGUCCGCUUUUUUCGCCGCCUGACCAAAAUGCCCCUCCUAUACAAUAGCCUCCCGCGUAUUUCUUGACAUACGUAUACUACCCUGCCGUACGNGAAAUAGAAGAAUCUUCGAGAAAGUUAAACUUUUGUCGGGAUACUUGCUAGUAGAGAUACAAUCUUUUAAGGACUUAUGGCUUCGCUUCUGCUUUCAUAAUACUAGGGGUUGAUUUAUUUUUAUUUUAUUUUUAUUUUUAUUUUUAAUUUUUUUGCAGAGGCCUGGUUGCCUCACCUUGUAGCCAAAUUCAUCUCCUAAAUGAAUGAAGCGGUAACAUGCUACCUUUUCUCAAAAAAAGAAAAGAAAAAGGAUUGAAGGUUCUUUAACGAGAUGCCGUUGUGGAGCUCCCAACUAAGUUUUAUCCAAGUACGCAUGAAGAGUCCAGCCGCGAAUUUAAAGGUGACUUAUACUAAUUGUUGAUUAAAAAUUUGUAAAAAAAUUAUAUGAAAAGUGUAUGCCUGUUUUAGUUAAUCACUUAUUAUUGUUUUUUUUUUAUUUUUAAGCGAAUCAAACAUUAAUUUAAUAAACAAUGAUAAUUUAGGACUACCACACGAAUUAUAAUUUGUAAAAUUUUUUGGAAAGCUAAUAGGGUAAAUCCGAAAGAUGUUUUGAAACACACAAAAUAAAUAGGUUUAGAAAGAAUGACUUGGUAGCGUUUGGUUCGGGAACAAAGGGGGGAGGGGGGGAAUAAGCCCUUGUUCCCCCUUUUGUUUCCAAACGGUAUGUUUGAUUCCCGAGAACAGUAGUUUUCAGAUUUCUGGAACAAGCUGGUAUAAGGCUGGAAUUGCUGUUCCACCCGUUUCCUGGAACUAGCUUGUUCCUUGAUGAGAACAAGGUUAAUUAAAAUCUAAAUUUAAUUUUAAUGGCAGUAAAUUAUUAAUUAAUCUAAUUAAUAUAUUUAAAUCAUUAUUUAUUACUUUAAUAAUUAAAUAAUUAAAUAAUUUAUUAUUUAUAAUUAAUUAUUAAUAAUUAGAUAAUUAUUAUUAUUAAUUUAUUAUUAUUUAUAAUUAAUUGUUAAUAAUUAGAUAAUUAUUAUUAUUAAUUUAUUAUUUAUAAUAUAUUAUUAAUAAUUAAUAAUAUUUAUUAUUAUUUAUUAAUAAUUAUUAUUCUUAAUGAUAAUCAAUAUUAUUAUUGAUUUAUUAUUUAUAAUUAAUUAUUAAUAAUUAAUAAUAAUUAUUAUUAUUUAUUAAUAAUUAUUAAUAAUUAUUAUUCUUAAUAAUUAGAUAAUAGAUAUUAUUAUUAAUUUAUUAUUUAUAAUUAAUUAAUAAGAAUAAUUAAUAAUUAUUAUUAUUUAUUAAUAAUUAUUAAAAAUAAUAAUAAUAAUAAUUAAUUAGAUAAUCAAUAUUAUUAAUUUAUUAUUUUAUAAUUAAUUACUAAUAAUUAUUAUUAUUUAUAAUUAAUUAUUAAUAAUUAAUUUAUUAUUUAUUUUUAAAUAAUAUUUUGAUGUUAAUUAAUUACAUAAUAUAAUUUUAAUUUCAAAUUAUACCUCUUAUUCCUCUUGUUCCAAUCUAACCAUCCAAACACUAUUUACCUUAUUCCUAGGAAUAACUCAAUUUUCAUCCAAACGCAAAAUUGUUCUAGUUCCUGUUUAUACCUGAACUUGUAUCUAUCUCUGGAACUAGCAGUUCUUACUUAUACCCGAACCAAACACAACCUAAUUAGGGUUUAUGCUGUUUGGCGUGAAGUCUAGACUAUUAGCAAUUCAGAGAUCUCACUUUGUGAGUGUUGAGAGCACGUCAUGAAAGUAGAAUUUCGUUUUUGAGAGUGGGACCGACCGUACCUAGUCCAAGUGGCAAAGGACUUGAUGGUUGGUACCCGAGAUCUCAAGUUCGAAUCUUAGUUGCUUCACAUUUUUAGCUAAGUUUGUUUCUAAAUGAAAUAAACGAAGCGGAUAGCAUAUUACCUAUCUCUUAAAAAAAAAAAAUAUUUUUAAGAGUGGGAAGUUGGCGAGCAAAAAAUUUGCAAGUACAGUUUCCAUCCCGUUGAAGUUGAAAGGUCGAUUUCCACACAAUUAUGGGUAGUAGUUCAGAUGAUUUUGCGUCUUGGGUGCCGAAACAAAUGCUGAUGUAAAUGACUUUUUUAGAGUUAUGAAUUCAACCUGUAAAAUCAACAAAAACAAAUAGGCCGUAGUUAGUUCUUGCAACUCAGCACAUCAGGGAGCUUAAUUGGGCUCUAUUAAAUUUUUCACCAAGAAGACCCUUAUCAUACAUUAUAAGAAUUGUUUUUUCCUCUCUCUUUUUAAUUUUUUAAUAUGAGAUAGGAUUAGAAUUCAAAUAUUUAAACAAAUUCAGUUCUUAAACAAAGUAAAAAACUCCAUGUUUGGUAUCAUUGUAAAUUUUUACUUUUUAAAUGCUAUUGACGGCAGAACAACUUUUUCGAUUGUCAUCAUUGAUUAACUUAUACUAACACUUCGUCAUGUGAUAAAUGACAACUUACUUAAAAAAUUUCAAAAGUAUAAUUAAUUAUUUUAAUUUUAAUUUUAAUUUUUUAUCGCCCAAUAAAUAUGCUGGAUAUAAGAGUUUGAAAGAUGUUUUUUUUUGAUACUGCAAUAAUAAAAAAAGUAAGAAACAAAAAAAAAUUGCAUUUAAGAAUUAUACGUAACUUGCUAUUUCCACCUACACGAUUUUAUAUAGAAAUUUUAUUAAAAAACAAAAAAUGGCAAGAACAUCAAAUGAAAACUUAUCAUCAUUGGUAUGAAAUAAAUCUUAUCAGGGUGACUCAACCAACAAGCUCUUCAGAAUUUGAAUCGGAAACAUUGUAUUCGCAGUGGCUAAUCAAUUUGUUUAGGAGAACUUGUGUAUUAAAUAGAGAAGCUCACGUGCUGUGUUUUUUUGGGACCCUUCCCUCCUUUAAGGCGUAGCAUUUAAACGCCCUCGAUCCCCGAUCGACCAAACCCUCCUUUCCAUUUAUACCCUUACCCGUUCGUCAUAACUCUUUAAGCUUGAACUAGCUUACCUCAUUUCAAAUUUGAUUUGAAAUUAAUUUUAAGUUGAUAUUUAUGGUAAAAUUCGGCUUGAAAUUAAUUUGACCGAGCUGGAGCGAGUAUAACUUCUAGUGGAGCGAGCACGAGCUCUAAAUAACCUGUUUGAAUUUUUAACGUCAUACAAUCUAGAGCUUAAUUUUUAUAAAAUAUUAUCUAACAUUUGAUACAAAAUAUUACUAAUAAUUUAAUACAUAAAAUAAAUAUAUAAAAUAUAAUAUUAUAAUAUUAAGAAAAAAUUUAGAUAAAGCAACUCUGCUUGCAAGUGAAAGGGAGGGAGAGAGAGAGAUAGAGUAAUUAGAGUAGGAUUUUGUUAAUUUGAUUUUGUUGGCUAGUAAAUAUGCUCUAUAAUCUAAACAUUAUAUCUAUAUAUAUAUAAUUAAAAGAGUCCGGCUACUAUACUAUCGAUAGUACCAAGCUCUUGGUACUAUUGAGUUUUCUACCGUUAGAUCUACCCUUUGAUCAAUUCCACCCGUUAGAUUAUACUAUUAAACCAACCACCCACUCAACCCUAGGGGACCACUAUCAUCCUAGCCGCACAUCUUUUCAUCCAAUGAUCGAAAACUCAAUAGUACCAAGGGCUUGGUACUAUUGAUAGUAUAGUAGCAUAAUUCUAAUUAAAAUACAUAAUAUAUAUUAUUAUAUAUAAUUAAAUUAUAUAUUAUAUAGAGUUCUCUACUAUACUUUUAUGAGUAUAGACCACUUUGUAUUUAUAAGUUUUCGACCGUUAGAUCUAUCUCUUUGAUCAUUUUCACCUAUUAGAUCAUAUAAUUCAAUCAACUACUCACUCAACCUUAGAAGACCACUAUCAUUCUACUCGAAAACCACUAUCAUCCUAACCGCACAUUCUUUCAUCCAACGGUAGAAAAUUUAUGAGUACAAAGAAGUACUAUAGACAACCCAACAGAUCGGUUACCCGAAGUCAAACUUUUCGGUCACGGCAAAUCUAUACUCAUAAGAAUAUAGUAGCUCUAUAAAUAUAUAAUUUAUAUAAUUUAUAAAUAUUUGUAAUCUAUACUAUAUAUAAAAGCAUGUAUUUCAAAUUUCGGACUGUUGAUAGACCAAUUUUUUGGCGGGGAAANAUUUUUAUUAUAAUAUUUUUUUAGGUAACGUUAUAUAAUACUUAAGAACAAAACGGAGUACUCAAUUUUUUAUGUAUGUUAUCUAUAAGAUGAAAGUGGUCUGAAAAUAUAAAAUUAUAAAUAUUAAAAGAUGCACUCUAGGUAGUAGGUCAUUUCAAAAAUGAAACAUGUAAGAAAGAAUUCUCAUUCAAUUCAUAAAAAAAGCAUUCAAAAUCUUAUAUUUUUUUUGUUUAUUGGCCUUUUCAAAUGUGUCGUAAAAUGCGUAUAAUUUGUUAACUUAGGUAUUCUACAUGGUGCACCGGGUGCACGCAACACUUUCUCUUAUUCGGUGCGGCUGUGCGUUGACACGAAGACGCGAGAUGAAGGGCAAGAAGGUAAUAUCGCGCAGCAUUUCAGCAAGUACAAAGUCCUAAUCCUAUCGUCUCCUGACACGUGUACAGAAAAGGCUUACGUUCCUCCACGUGUCGUAUUCUUAUUGGCCAACGAGAUGACGUCAUGUUACAUUCAUGCGGUUUGAAAGGCGCUUAUUUCCUUGAUAUAAAAUGUAUAGAUGCCCUCAACUAUAAGCUAUUUCAAUAUGAGACUUCAUAACUUUUUUUAUUUUUUUUAACCGAAACUCUCUUUCAUUCUAAUUUUUUAAAAUUGAACAAUUUUAGUCAAAAAAAAAAAAAUUCAAAAAAUUUUCAAUGUAUUAUCAUGCUACAUGCCUUUCGCUAAAAAUAAAUAAUAAUAAUUUAUUAUUUUCUUACUUUUUCUUUUUGGGCAGUGACAGGUUGGCGUGCCCCAUCGGGAGUAUCGACAAAUUUGACUUUAUUGACCCACCACCUGCCCUGCUGCCCAUCCCCAUUUGACGCUGCCUACCCGGCGACCCGUGUUUCGCUCUUUUUGCUUUUUUUUCUUUUUUUCUUUUUUUUAAUCUCUCUCUUUUUUACCUUUUUUCUUUUUCUUUUAUUUUUCUAUUCUUUAAUUCGAGUUAAUUCAUACGCAAGCAGAAUAGUGGCGGUGGGAUGUGAGGUGGAGGGUCCAAUGGAGUUGCUAAAUUGGGUUUAUGUGGUCCCACCAACACUAUUAAAAUAUUAUUACGGUCAUAUUGCAUUAAAAAUUCCACCAAAAAAAAUUGCACAUACAAUUUAAUGGCCAAUUUGCAUAAAAAAUCCACUUAUUUUGGAUUUUGCAAAACCGGACCACCUUUUUCGUUUUUGCAGAUUCGGUCCGCUUUUUCCGCCGCCUGACCAAAAUGCUCCUCCUAUACAAUAGCCUCCCGCGCGUAUUUCUUGACAUACGUACACUACCCUACUACCCUGCCGUACGGUCUGGCGCGCAUUAAAUGACCGCUUAUUUCUCGGAACCCGGACAACAUCCGCCCCCGCUAUUCGUCUGCCCCGCUGUUUCCUGUUCUGCUUAAGACUUUACGAAAUUUUCGAACGCUAUUGACAAAUAGUGCGCGCUCCGCAACAGGGAUAAUAGUGAAAUGUGAAGUCUACGAAAUGAGAAAUGGUGCAACCGACCUCUAUAACAGUGCAUCCUAGCCUCGUUCCAGUGCAAACAAACCAUAAUCAGUCAAAAUUUUACUUUCUCCAUUUCUUAAUAUAAUCUGAACUUAAAAGUGCAAAUGAACGGCGUCCCCUCCAAAUGCAGGCGAAGCAUCGGCUGUGCAGGACGGUCGCUGCCGGGUAGGACGGUCGGCGAUGUGCGACAAAAGAGUCGGCAGGCCAGGAAGCUCUGCGGCGGGGCUGGACGGUCGCCGGCGGGGUUCGGAGUUCGAGAGGGGCGACAUAACGGCUAAACGAUUGUGUAAAGUUUUCCUAUAAAAGAUCACGCGUCCUUUUGCUUGUUAAAUAAGUUCACAGUUAAGCGCGAAUAAUAGUGCAAGGCAGUGUUAAUUACAGAAAAAUAUUUUUCAAAAGAGUGCAAAGAAGCUCGUAAGAGUGCAAUACGGGAAAAUAACAGUCUAAUGAAUUUUAUCUACGAGUGCAACGAAACCUGUAAGAGUGCAAUACGGUAGUAAUACAGUGCAACUCAGAUCAAAUGAGUUCAAGAUUCUCCGCUAAAGCGUGUAACAGUAUGAUAUGUAGUACAAAAUUUUCACAGAUUUGGUGUUAAUUUUUAAUUUAAUCUUAAGGUAAUAGUGCAAAUGAAAGGACAUGGUGACGUCGAAUAUAGCGGUGUGAAGUAGAAGGAGGCUCCACCACCUCUUUAUUGCUGCCGCCGCUGCGGCGCUAUACCUCCGCGCGCCAGGGUUAAUAGUGCAAGGCGAAGGCUCUACGGCGGGAGAAACGGUGGAACAAACCUUCUAACAUGCAACCGUAGCGUCGUUCCAGUGCAAGGAGACUGCUAGGAGGAGGAGGAGGGUCGAUCGGAGGUUACGAUCCAGCAACGAGGCGAUCAGAAAGAACGAUUCAGCAACGAGGCGUUAAGGUUGAUUCGCACUAUCUGAAAUGUUUCAUUUGUUUUGGGCAAUUUGGAGCUCCGCUCUAUCAUGAAAAAGACAGUACAGACAGAAAAAUAUAGAACUAAUUUCAUAAGGGUGUAACUAUGUCACAAUAAUAGUGCAACGUAGGGUAAAAAAGUAGAACUAAGUUCAUAAGGGUGCAACUAUGUCACAAUAAUAGUGCAAUGGAUUCAUGGAACAGCAAACACACGGUCUGGCGAAUAGCGUGGAUAUACGCUCCAGCGCAGCGCGCAUUUAAUGCUUGUAAAAGUACGUAGCGUAGCGUCUACAUUAUAGCGUCUCUUCUGUGAGGAUAGGAGACACCGGCGGUUAUAUCGAAGCUGCCUCGGGGAAAGUAAAAGCGACUAUUUCGAAUUUUACUCGUAAAGGCGUUGCAUUGUUAUGACGAAUGUUACUCUAAUAUCUCCCCAGUAUUGCACUUUUUUUGCAUUUUGUUACUUAACGUUGCACUAUUAUUAUAGCAUAUUGUUGCACUAUUUUUAUACGAUUGAAUGAUUUAUUGAUAUUUUAAAGUGAUGUUACAGUAAUACGGCUCUUCAGGUAAGCAUUAGCCACUUUCUGUUCACGACGAAAACUAAUAUUUCGCGAGCAUUAAUAGUCGGUUACCUAAAUGGUUACGCAACGUAGGGUAAAGGAGUACCUCGACUCUAUUCCUCAAAUGCCUGUUCGUUUUCUAUAAAAGCACUCUCCAGGCACUUGGGCAACCGGCGACGAGGAAACGGCGAUGAUGGAGGUACACGAGACGAGAGGAGAGACCCGCAGGAGACGUCGACGAAGAAGAGGCUCGGUCGUAAGUGUAUCAUCCAGUAAGGAGGCGUUAAGAUUGAUUCGCACUAUCUGAAGUACUGUGCUUUAUUUGCGACGAGGUACCACCCUAUACCAGGUUCUUAAAUUCUUCCAGAUCUUUAUUCUUAUCGAUAGAUUCUAAAUUUAUCCUGACUAUACUGUCUCUUUAUGAACAAUGUAGUGCCAAAACGUCAAUGCGAAAGUGCCUAGUGCAAAUAAAGCUCCGACAUACCCCUCCGAGCGAGCCCUCUCCUCUUCGCCAUUUCAUCUUCCGAUAGAGGAACCUCAGAGUAUGUUAUGUGCUCGUGGAUUUGUGGCAAGCUUUGAUGAUGAUUCAGUACUUUUGUAAAAUGAAGGCCUAAUUUUGUUCACUAAUAAUGUUGAUGCGAAAUUUACAGUUGAUGUUGUGAACAUCGUAUUGUAUGCAAAACGUGUAUUAUAUGUUGCGUUUUCGUCAAAGACAAUGUAUAAUUUGCUUGUAUAUUAAUAAAGAGAUCCCUUUCUUUACAUUGUUACGCCUUAUAGUAAAUAUAUCUGUAUAUUCAUUAUAUUCUUGCACCGCUUUUAGCUGUAUUACACUAUUAGCCCAUAUUUUACAGUAUUAUUUCCGACGAUGUUGCACUUUUUCAUUCAUAUUAUAAACAAAUACAGAGAAAAUCUUACACUGUUUUUUGGCCACUUACAGUACUUAGGAAACAAUGUUACAAAUAUAAACAAAAAAGUUCUUGCACGAAGGAAUUUUCUUGUACUGGUUAGACAGUUGUUGCACCAUUUAGGCAAUUUAUUACACUAAUUGGUGAAAGACCUCACGAUUAAGUCAACAACCUUAAACGCGAUUAAUAGUGUGACGCGCUGUAAAAGAGCUCAAUAGGCCCGUAAUGGUGUAAUAUUAUCGUAGUAAUCGAUCAAUGGUUUGAAAGUUAUGGUGCAACGAGUUAAUCUCUGAUAGUAAUGGUGCAACGAGUUAACCAAUUUCAGAACUGGAUUAUGAUGGUCCAUAUAUUUUAUAAUACACCUUCAAGAGUAUGUUGAGAAUGGUGCAAUAAGAAGUUUAAUCAGGAUUAAAUCCGGGAUGAAUUCUCCCGAAGAAAGUUCGAUGUCUCGCCGGUGUCUCUUCCCUCUCUUACCGACCAGCGGUGUCUCUUCCCCUCUCUUACAGGCCAGUGCCUCUCUUACCGGCCAGCGCCGCGGUACCCGUCCCGUCGACUGGGAGAAGAUCAAUAUGGAAGACAUCCCGAUUCAAGAUCAGUCCAAUGACUGCGCGAUCUUCCUGUUAGCAUACGAGGAAUACUAUUAUCCCUCCUUGCUUCAAUGUGUUUGCACUGGAACGAGUCUAGUGAUGCACGCUUAGAAGGGCUGUUACAUCAUUUAACCUGGCUUUUCUCCUUCUCGUUGCACUAUUAUUUCAGUCUUGUUUUAGGUUCACAUAUUUAAAAUUAUUAAAGCCGAACAGCAAACACCUGGUCUUGCGAAUAGCGGAACCGAUGUUGUCCGAGUUCCGAAAAAAAGCCAUGUUGCGUGAAGCGCAUGGGCCGCAUUUAAUGGCCCGGAGGGUUUGUCUAGGGUGUUUACAAUCUGUGUAACAGUGCAAUGUAAUAUACAUAAUGGUGCAAUUUAUUGUAAAAGUGGUGUAAAAAAAUUCCUCUUGUAUUAUAACAGUGUAAUGUAAUGGAUAUAAUAGUGCAAUUCCUUGUUUAAAUGGUGAUUUGAUUACAUCUGUUACACUAUUUUAUUUCCAUUCCCAACAGCGUAACUUGCUUACUUUCCCGAGGCGAAAUUCCCUACAAUCCUGUAAUUAUAUGAGGCCCUUUGAGCUAUACGCAACAGCGCCGUUUUAUGACAGAGCAUUAAAUGCAAGCCAUUAAAGAGCCAUUAAUGCAGCAAGCGCGGGAAAGGUGGGUUUNUAUAUGAUGUAACAUAUUUAUUAUAAUUUUAAAUAUAUUUAAUCUGUAUAUAAAAAUUAUAAUAAUAUAUAAAAUAUAUUUAAUUAUUAUAUAUUAAUAAUAUAUAAUAAAAAGUAUUAAAUAAUUUUUUAUCUAUUUCUUUUCCUUUCCACUAAACAACCGUCAUGAAAAAUCAUUUUUCUUCUCCUAUAAACCAAACACUAACAACGUAAAAUCGUUUUUUCACUUUCACCAAAAUUUUUUUUCCACAAUUUUACGUGGAACCAAACACCCUUUAUUUCGACUCGAACUGUAGAGAGGCAUACACUGAACUCUAGCUCGCUCGUUUGCCAGCCCAGUUACUCGAUCGACCUUAACCUUUAAUCCUCUAUUAUUAUUAUUAUUCUGAGGGUGAAAAGAGUCAUUUCGCCCACCUCUCCAUACUUUAAUGCUAUUAAAUAAAUUAAAUAAUUAGGCGCUCGAAACAGGGGCCUUGUUUUGGCCUCCUCAUGUUCCCUCCCUCUCUCUCAUUCUCUCUCCUCUCGUCGGUGGCGGUGACCGGAUCCCCACGCUAGCGAAUACGACGCGCGCCGUGCGCUUACUCUCACCGCGAAACAAUUAAAACCCAUGGGGCCCACUCGGCUGCAGCGGGAGCAGUACUACCCCCUUCCUUUUGUCCUCUUCCUCCCCCGGGCGCCACCCCCGGGGUCCCGUCACCGCACGUGUAUUUAAUCCACCCUCGUCCUCUCUAGCGUUUUAAGCCGCGAAAACGGGGGCGGAGAAGCAGCAGCAGCAGCCGUAGCCAUGGAGGUGGGCCUCUCCUUCUCCUCCCACCUCGUUCGCCUCCUCCUCGACGCCGACGACGCCACCGACUGGGCCGCGCCGCUCCCUUCGGCGCGGCCAUCGUCGUCCUCCCCGUUUCGCCCCAGCGUCGCGGUGAUCGUCGGGGUUUUGACGACGAUGUUCUCGCUCACGUUUCUCCUCCUCCUCUACGCGAAGCACUGCAAGCGAGGCGUCGGCGACGGGGCCCUCGGCGUCGGCGUCGGCGGCGGCGGCGGCGGACCGGGGUACGGCGGGUACCCGAGCUCCGGAGCUGCGGAGAGGCGCCACUCCGGGGUGGACCGCGCGGUGGUGGAGUCGCUCCCGGUUUUCCGGUUCGGCUCGCUGCGGGGCCAGAAGGAGGGCUUGGAGUGCGCGGUCUGCCUGAGCCGGUUCGAACCGGCCGAGGUGCUCCGCCUCCUCCCCAAGUGCCGCCACUGCUUCCACGUGGAGUGCGUCGACACGUGGCUCGACGCCCACUCCACGUGCCCGCUCUGCCGCGUCCGCGUCGACCCCGAGGACGUCGUCCUCCUCCCCGCCCCUCCGCCCGAGCCGGACCCGUAUCCCGGUCCGGACAAACCGGCCGAGGCGAAAUGCGAGGAGCUCCGGUCCGGUCGGUAGGGUCUCCGGCCCGCGCACUCGACCGGCUCGCCUCCGAGAUCGUGGUCCAGCGGCCGAACCGGCCGUCCCGAGACGCGGCGAGUCGGCCGCACGGGCUGCUUGGAGCUGAACCGCGGUUCGGAAGGACCGGCUCCUGCUGCCGCGGCCGAAGGACCCGGAGCGGUUCGAGCGGCGGAUUUCAGCCCACCGACGUGGUGGUGAGCGGCGAGCAGCGUCGGAGCGGUGGAACGAUACUGCAGGCGUCCGGUACCGCUGUCCUGGCCGUCCGAAGAUGAUCAUGCACGCGACAGCGGGGACGCCUUCUCGGCGUCGCGGCGCCGCGGGUCCGCGAGCGGCGGCGGACGUGGUUAGCGGCGCGAGGUGGCCUGUCGGAGCUGGCCGGUGUGAGCGGAUCGCGCGAGCGGCGCCGGGGGCUGGGCGAGCGGACGGAGGAGGAGGAGCGGUCCGUGCAUGCGGCGCGGUAGCUCGGCUCGCGCAAGCGCACGGGCGGUGGCUGCGGGUCCACCAGGGAUAACGCGCCUAGCUAACUCCGAGGCGCCGGAUAUAUGGGCACGACCCCUCGCCUUCUACGAUAUAUUCUCGACGAAAAAUGCCCACGGCAUCUAAUCCUCUCUUUACGAGGCGGCUGCCAUCGCCUUCAAUUGUCGUCCCUUAGUUUUUCCCUCUUUUUUUUUUUUUUUUUUCCGACGCGCUUUUUUUUUUUUUUCCACGCGCGGACAGCGGAGUACCCGCCGGAAGGCGAGUGCCUGAAGCUGCCUCAAAAAAUGUUCCCUGGACCCAGUGUACCACGUACAGCUGGGAAAACGAGCUUUUUCGGUCAGCCAUAUGUAUUUUUCAUUCGGGCUCCGCGGCGUACGUGGUGGACUCGGUGCAUGUUUGAUAGUCGCUGCUGGUAACCUCACCUCCCGGUCCCGAUAAUCGCGCUGUGACAGGGAACGGAUUUGUGUGGGCAUGAAGGGGGGGCGUUCGAGGCGCGUUGGAAAUCAGCGAUUGCGGCACUUUGGACGGCCCUGAUUUGUUGGAUAUCGUGGUACGAAGCGAGAUCCGCAGAAUCGGGCGGUGUCGGGAAAUCACGCAUUUUAUUGGUGCCCUUUUUGGCGGUAUCGUGUACAUCCGCAGUUGUCUCGGUUACUACGCUCGAUCCAAUGGGUUAAAAAUAUGUGAUUCUUUGAUGUUUCCGGAGAAGAUAGUGAUGUCGCAGCGCCAGGGGAGUGGGAAUUUUACCCGCAUCCACUCACUCCUCUUUCUUUGUUUGUUUAUUUAUUUAUUUAUUUUUUUUUUUUCGCAUAUGUUACUCAUAAUUUUAUAUGUUUGAUUAAUUAUAUAUUUAUCUUUAUAAGUUAUUGGUCAUUUUGCAUAAAAUAUUUACUAAUUUUAUAUAUUUUUAACAAAAUUAUAUUAUUUUUUUUUAUUUUGCAAAUUCAACUCAAAAAUAGUUUACUCUCACCAAAAUAUCUUUCCGCCUAGAAAGGCGGGUAGGGUCCUCUGCUUAUCACCUGCUUAUCACCUGCAGAAAGCAGGCGUUUAUCAUGGACUUCAUGUGUUGCAAUUUUGAAAAACAUAUUGUACUAUUUGUAAAAUAUUUGCAAGAUUUAAAGAAUAUAGUGUAUAAUUUUAGAUCGAAAAACAACACAUCCAAUUAUGAGUUGUCAGUUAUAUUUUCUCAUAAAUGAUAAAAAUCUAUUCAAUGUUAAAUUUUUUUGAGAUUUUAAAUUUCAAGUAUACAUACUCUUUAAUAGUGCAGCAUUCGGUUAUCGGUUAAAAUGUAAUAUCGUAAUCUUGUUGGUGCUACAAAAAUGGCGUCAUGUGGAAGAAAAAUCUAAGCCACAUAAACAGAGCAAAAGAAACACACAUAGAGCCGCACGUGGUACACCUGGAGUACUGAAAAGCACGCCUGAAACAGGAAAGUGAUUUUAGACGGAACUGAAGGCGUGGGGAGGAAUGGUCAAAGUACGAUUCAAGAAAACGGGGACGUGGCCGAAAUACAUCCCCACGAUAAAGAAUAACCGAAUAACUGCAAGCAGGAUUGUUAUAAAUAAACAAAAAUUGCGUGCACAAUAGGUCUUUUCGGGUACAAGAGAUCGCCCAUAUUUCCAUUUCUUCGAUUUUAAUGCAAUUACCGCUUUCCUAGGAGUAGUUUGUUACCAUAAAUUUUCUUAGAGUAUAUCUUGUUAUAAAUUUAAUUUUUCAAAGGCUUAAGUAGGAUAAGCUAGUGGUAGGAUUUGUUUGUAACAAGUCUCCCUAUAUUCCAAAUCCUUUUUGUGAAAUAAUUAAAGACAAGUUACUUUGCUCAUUUUCAGCCGAGCUAGUAAUAGAUAACCGAGUGUAAGGACUUAGCUGAGCGGAUCCUUUCUCAGCCGAUUGCUUGAUUACGUCUUGGGUGCAUUCGAGGAUCACCAUCAGGAGCUGACCUCUCUCUAACUCGCUUCCUGAGAGAGAGUCUUGAUCGGGUCAGCGGUCUCGAGAUUCGGCUCACAGCAAUUUUUUGGCACACACGGUGGGACACACUCAGGUAAUUCUCAUUCUAGUCUUUAUCUUAUGGCUGACGAUAACACUAUGAACCUUCGAAACAAGGGUCAUUUCCAGGCCUUCAGGGAAUGAUCGAGUCAGUAACACCGAAAAUACGAACGAGCAUCAGGCGGUACUACUGGCCGAAGGGGAGAUUAGUGAACACUCGACUCAUAAAGAGUCGAGUUUAACUCAUGCACUCGGCCAGAUGACCCAAAUUCUGUAGACUUUAGACCAAAAUAGUCAUCAAAGUACCGCUCGACUAGACGUGGUGCUGGCCGUUAUCAUGGCCUCCAACGAAAAUAUUGUCCGAAUCGGGCAACUAUUAGCUUUAAACGAGCAAACUUAUCGAGGUCCACAAGAACCCCUAAAUACGCACCACAAAAUUCUAUUACACUGGCAAUCACCCAAGCGCAGCCUUAGAUGGCAUCUUUCCAAGCUACGUACAGACCGGCAAAUAUAAACAUCGUUCACAGUUGGAGAUCACGUGGGGUUUGCCUUCUUCACCACCCUUGCUAAUCUACUAGCCCAAAAACGUGGGUGUGAGGAAUGGGGGGCAAGUGUUAGAUGUAUGCCCUAGAAGCCAACCAAGCCGAUACAUAUAUUCUUUCUAAAAUAUAAAUUUGUAUUUGACUUUAAAAUAUUAUGAAUAAAUUAGGGUUCUUAUUUCCAUUCAUGUUGUAUAUGUGUCCAUAAAUCGUCCAAGAAAUUAAUAAGAUGAUGACAUAUAUUCUAAAGAGUUGAGAAUUUGAGACAUGUGUCAUUGAUGGUUAAUUCAUAAAUGCUCUCGAUUAAUGGAUCAUCACGGGAACGGUGAUUGAUCUGGUGAGAUUAAUGCAUAGGUCGCUUCCCUUUUUGGGUAGACGAGUUUCGAGUCGAUAGUGUGGGGACAUUAAAGCGAAUAUGUAGGUGAUUCUUAGAGAACAAGGGUACCGAGCGUGACCAACGCGAGAAGUUACUUGGAUGUCUACUCACUCGUCAGUGACUUACUCAAUACUGCAAUAGUGUGACUGGUCUUUUGACCUCCGGUGCCUCGGCUAUUCAUAAUGAGGUUACUGUAGUUUGACUGUACAUACACUUGGUCGCUAGCCAUUCGGGUCCUUGCGGUGCAUGUUGGUUGCAGUAGGUUCAUUGUAGGAAUAGAGUACGUACUUAGAUGGAAUCUAUCUCCCUUGGUAGAUAGGGGCAUUAGUCUUAUGUGAUUUAUAAGACCGAGUUUAGAAGAUCUUGGCCAGGGCAGAGUUAAUAGUGGAAAAGGGUUUUCGAUAUUAGAAACUCGAGUCGAAUAAAUUUAACAUAUGAUAGACGAUGAGGUUUGACGAGUUAUUCUAUGACCUCCGUCUAGUCGGGACUCACCGUAUCACGCGGUAACUGCACCAAGAGUGUAAGGAAGUGAAUUCUCGAAAUAGGGGAGUUGAACUUCGAUUGGAAUCGACUGACUGUCGAUUAGGUAUGCUUCGGAAAGGCCGAAAGCAUCAAAGAGAUCAAAAGUGCAUUGAGGAUGGCCUCCGAGAGCAAGCUGGAGAAGUUCUGCACAACUGCAAUUUUUGUGCUCUCGGGGACCGGUCCCUCAGCCAGAGAGACCGGUCCCCGUAUACGUGAAAAUAGGCAGAGCCCUCUGCCCGCGAAAAUUGCUCUUGGGGUCCGGUCCCUCAACCAAAGAAUAGUUCUCCAGGGUCCGGUCCCUCAUGCAAAGACUGGUCCCCGUACGCGAAAUCUGCCAGUGCAGAGCAGUGCAAUAGAGGCAUUGUUGAGGGGGUUUUUGGCAUAUUGUUACAUAUAAGGGGUUAAGUGAGAGUUCCCUCUCUCUCUUUCUCUCAUUCCCUCAACCCUAAUGCACACUCUCCCUCUCUCUCUCUGAUUAGCUCUCUCUCUCUCAUCAAGGAGGCGCAAGAGGAGGGGAAAGUAAAGGAGAAGGUGGAGAAGAAAGCUAGGAAAUGGAUCAUCUCCAUCUUUUUUAUCUUCUUCCUUAAUUUGGAAGCUUGGAGAGGUAAGCUUCUUGAAGCAACAAUGAUGAUUUCUUAGGGUUUGGUUUAUAUACUCUAAGAAUGCAUUCUUUGGAACUCUAGCAUGCUAUCUAGAUGGAUUACACCUAAUUUGUAGGAAGAUUUGGUGGUUUUUGCAAUAGUUGCAAACUAUAGCUCCAAAUGGGAGUUUUUGUAAACCUAAGAGCUUGAUCUCAAUUGACUCUCCGUAAACCUAAUUACUAGGUAUUCUGACACGUUGGCGAAGUCGGUUCGGCGAUUCGUCGAGCCUACGUGAAGAUAUUGAAGAAACGGACGAUUUAGCUUCGUUUCCGCCUGGAGGGCCGAGACGACAUCCAAAAAUCAUGAAAAUGGAUUUGUGGCAUCGCGGCAUCAAGCUGUAGACCUAUAAUUUUCGGGGCUGCGAAUCGACGCACGGUUGGAGUGAAGUUGUAGUAUCGGGUCGAACCGGACGGCGUGUGCCGCGGGAGGCCGAUUGCAAGUGACUACAAGCAAUCGGAAUGCAAUAACAGGUGGGUUGUGCUUACCGAAGCGACUAGGUCGCUUGCAUGUCAAAGUGGAAUAUGGAUUCCUGUUGACGCAUAUGUAUGUGCAUGUGGGCAUUGCAAAUGUGCUAGAUGAAAAUAUAGGCAUGUUAGCUUUAUGUAAAUACAUGCUAGUGGGUAAUUGCAUAAUGAUGCAUUGAAAGUAUAUGCUAGUGGAUAGAUUCAUGUUGAUAUACAUGCAUAGUGGAAUAUAUGCUAGAUGUAUUUAGCAUUAUAAAAUCAUGUUAGAUAAGAAGCGUGUUGGCAUUGUGAGCAUGUAACUAUAAACUCGAUGUGGACAACUAGGAUGUCAAGUAGAUCGAGUGGCAUUAAACCUAGUGUUAUUAAACAUAGGUUGGAAAUAAACCUAGUGUCGUGAACCUAGGAUGAACAUGAGUGGCAUUAACCUAGUGUCGUGAACAUAGGUUGAAUACGAGUGGCAUUGAAUCUAGGGUUAUUUAACAUAGGUUGUAGUGAACCUACUGUCGUGGACCUAGGAUGGACAAGAAUGACAUAUGAACCUAGAUUAUGUGAUAAAGGCAUCGAACCUAAUAUUAAAUGAACCUAGGUUAUGUGAUAAAGGUAUUGAACUUAGAGUCAAUUGGACCUAGGGUGGAAAAGACAACGGGCCUAGAUAGGUCGAUACUAUAGGGUUUGAGACCAACCCUUGAGAUGCAAAAUGGAUUUCGAAAUCUCUAGUGUUGUGGCCGCAAAAGAGGCGGUGGAAACUUGUUGCAUAAUGCAAGUGAAUCAUAACUGCGGGUAUGUGUGGUUCUCCUCGCCCGGCAGUGAUUCAACGGUAUGUGUGAUUCUCCUCGCCCGGAAUGCUAUGAGAAUAAGCUUGAAAUGGGUAUGUGUGGUUCUCCUCGCCCAAUUAGCUUAUUGGAUGAUGUCGCCAGGAUUGACUUGAGCUAUUGUUGGGUGAGGUGCGAUGCGUUCGCCACCAGAUGGCUAAGUCAAGAGGUGCGCGCGGUGGGCUGUGACGGCAGCUAGGCUGAGAUGCAGCCAGUGCGCGGUAGUCCGCGGAUGAUUGACUCGAGGCCGAGUCGAGUGGAUAACUUGGAUAAGGUAGUGGACACCUUAGAAGCUAGUGAUAAAGGCCAGUGCUAAGGUAAUAGAGACCUUAGAAGCAAGUGGACUUGAGUUGCAAACCUAAGGCAAAGAAAACCUUAGAGCUAGAUGAUAUGAGCUAAAGAUAGCAGGUUUGAAAAUAGGAUCAAUUGAUCUACUAGUUAUUUGCAUAAUUGCAUAAUUUUCAUAUAGCAUGACAUUGUUGCAUUCGUGAGGCAAAAGUAUGAAAAUUUUAGUUGCAUAAUUAUGAUAUUAUAUCUAUUUGUUGAACAAACAUGUUGGUUGCCUCCUUUGGACCUGUUGGUCAAGCUUUUUCCUUGGGUGGCCGUACCCACUGGGAAUUAUGGAGUUGGUUCUCAUCCCAUGUUACUUUGGGGUGUUACAGGGUUGCACGUGAGCGGCGCGGCGGCGCGAGGCGAGGGCGUAGCUCCGUAGAUAGCGCCCUACCACCGAGACCAGAGGUAGCGGUACCCCGAGUCGGCAUAGCCUAGGGGUAGAGGGAAAGGAAAAAGAACAAGAUGUAUUAGAACUUGUAAAUAAGUAAAAAAUGUAAUGGCUUGUAUUGCAUGUUUGGAAGUUAAAUAUUAUAUGUAAUUGGAAUGUAAAAGCAUGUAUGUGAAUGCUUCUAAUAGUUAGCUGUUUAUGUUUUUGAUACUUAUACAAUCUGUAUGUUGAGUAUUGUUCUUUGUUGGAACCUUUGUAUUGUAUCGAUUACGACGCCUAGAACGUACAGGAAAAACUCUGUCCGUUCGGCGGUCUGUCAACGUGCCCGAACCCAACAAAAUAGGCGGGGCACGGGGCGUGACAGAUAAAGUGGUAUCAGAGCAUAAAGUGUACGUUUUGAGGGAGCCCAAGGAUCUAUCUAAAUUGUAUCCAACACCUAGAGGGGGGUGAAUAGGUGUAACGGCCAAAAACCACAAAUUUUAAUGCGAUAAAAAAUAAUGCGAAAAAUAAAAAUCAUAUCGAGAUUUACGUGAGAAAACUCCAACUUGGAGUAAAAACCCACGGGACCAACAUGCGAUAAUAAUCCACUAAGAAUAAAAGACUACAAGGUGAUUUACCGAAUCCACGGACUCAAACCUCUCUUUUAUCUUCUCCGGAUCUCGCGCACAUCAACGGGUUGUCCACGCCCCACGUCUGAAUCCACGAACGCCACGUCCCGAAUCCAUGAAACGUCACCACUUCAAAUCCAUGAAGCCUCGAUCACGUCGAAUCCACGACGCCCACUCGAAUCCACGAGCCUACGAUCCGAAUCCACGAACCGCCUUCGUUCACGCCGAAUCCACGACGCCGUUCAUGAAUAGCAUCAUGAUUAUGGUGAUCCUUCGCUUAAAGUAUCGAUGAAAACCAGAAAAGAGAUCUCCAAGCGAAGCGAAGAUCAAAUCGACAUAUAGAUAUGAAAUUCCAAAAUCUCGAUUUGACCUAAAAGAGGCUAAUAUGUAGAAAAUAGGUUUUGGAUGAAAUCCUAGCCUCUAAGGUUUCUCAAACAUGUAUUCUCAUGAUCCUUGAUGAUUUAGAGAACCCCAAUAGCUUAUUUAUAGACUUUAGAAUCAAUCGGAAUCGGAUUAGAAAGUUUUCACGAUUUUACAAUGUGUACCGAUACACUUUAAGCUGUCACUGGUUACACAAUGACGGAACGAAAAACUGACAAAACAGUGGAACCGGUUACAUGUCGAUGGCUGUACCGGUACAUAUUUUGUACCGGUACACUUCUGAUGCUGUACCAGUACACUUUGCAAAUUUUCACCGUUUCGGGUUCUGUAAAAUUUCGAUGCACUUUCUAAUUCAGUAAACAUUGAUAUUAUGAUUCUAAUGCCUACAACUAAGUAUGAAUCACCAUAACAUGAAUUAACACUUUACCUGGACAUCGUGAUUCACAUCGUGAGUCAUUUUCCAAUUUCUUCGAAAUCUUGAAUUCUUCGAUCUUCGACGAUACGCAUCGAUUCUUCAAGACUCCGACUCACUUCACGAAACUUGCCAACACACAGGACUUAACAUAAAAUAGAGAAUGAGAAUGGUUUAGCUGGACCUAGGAGACCCAAGAAUAGUAAAUCUUAGGAGAUUAUGGCUCGUGAGAGACGAUGACUUGUGGCUUGUGCGAAAGGAUAAUGGAUUGGAUUGUGUCGAAACCUCUAAGACGGAUAUUAGAGAUAGACUCGAGGUGUGGUUUAUUCUCGACCGAGGGUGUUCAUGUUGGGCGCGCACGACAUGAAACCGAGUGAUGAGAAUAGACGCCCUUGCUUGACUUUCGCCCAAUUUGAGUCGAUGAUUAGCUAGUUCGUACUUGACCUAGAGGGUCGAGAACUGACGAGUUGUCCUGUUUCAGGAAGCGAUGGCACCGCGUAGGCGAUCUUCAUCCAGAUCGGUGCAGGAGAGGACAAGUGGUGUCCCUGAGCAAACCGACGCGAGCAGAGACUCAGAGCUUCGUGAUCAGUUGGCCACACUCGUCAGAGUGGUGAGGCAACAGGGCGAUUUGGUGCAGCGGCAGCAGGAGGCUGCAAUGCGCCAGGAGGAGCGAAUGAAAAGACUCCAAGAGACAGUGGAUCAGUUGGUGAUUGCUCCAGUUGCGACUCGACGUGUACGGUCGGGAGUCGCGGCGGAGGCGUUUCCGCCGGGGUCGGGCGAUCCUAAUACUAUUGGUUCAGAAAUGGAGGCGGAGAAAGAGCGGGCAUUGGCGGCCCUCAUGACCUUCAAGAGGUUUGAUCUGCCUAUCUUCGAUGGAGAGAAGGUCGAUCCGUGGAUCGUGGAGAUGUGGAUUGACUUUAUGGGAAAGCUAUUCAAGGAGGUGUACACCUUGGAGCGGGACAAGGUGCCCCUAGCUGUGCAUUGCUUGAAACUGUCGGCGAAGGUGUGGUGGAAAGGCGUCAAGCGGAACCUUUCGCCUAGUCUCCCUCCUAUGACUUGGGAAGAGUUUCGGGGAUUGGUGUUUUCUAUGUACUUUCCCGAUAGUGAAAAGAGAAAGCUUCAGGACAAGUUCAGGAAGUUGCGGCAAGGGGACCGCUCUAUGAGGGAGUACGAACGGGAGUUCUCCCGUAUCGUGAAUUGUGUCCCGGAUGUAGUACAGGAUGAUAAGGAUAUGGCCGAUUGGUUCCUGCGUGUAUUUCGACCAGAGAUUUAUAAGGAAGUGCAAAUCUUCAAGCUCACAACCUUCGCGGAGGUGUUUGAUCGAGCGUUGUUUGCAGAGCACGGCGAGGCUUUCGUGCGUGAGGAGCACGAGCCUUCUGAACGUGAGCGGGGAGGGGUGAGGCCACUGGCGAGUGGUUCGGGUGGACAAUCAAGUUCUAGGCGCCACUCGAAGUCGUCCUCUACCCGGUCCUCCCCAGGAUGCGUGAUUUGUGGUUGUUCCCACUGGGCUCGGCGAUGUGUACUGCGUGAUAGAAGGUACUUUCGUUGUGGGCAGCCGGGCCAUGUGUGGGGUGAGUGCCCGCAAGGGUAUGAUCAGACCCUGACACUGGUGACGGCCUUUUCCUCUCCGGGACAGCCUGUAGGUGUGCUACCUGCGGCAUGGUCGGAAGAGCGGCCGUUGAGAAUGAUGCAACCGAGGGGUUUGCGGCGGGCAGCAAGUGGCCGUGGAUACGCGACCCAGGUGGAGGAACCUGCAGCUGCUGUCGAUGUUAUGGCAAGUAUGAGUUAAUUAAGCAAGCAUAUGCUACUACCUGAUGUCAAGUUGUUGCAUAGCAUGCAUUUAUCAUAUGGUCAGUUGCUACUAUUUAUACAUUGCACAGUAGGGACCGAGGGGAUGGGUAGACAGAUACCCGGGCAUGCUUGCAUUGUGAGAGUAUGGCGCCUGCUAGAGCAGGUAGAGAGCCUGAUUGCCCUAGCAAAAUGCUAGUAAUGAUUUUUGGACAUGAAACGAGACUCGUGUUAGAGAUGAAAUGGUGAAGCGACUCUCGAAGCAGUGGCUAGUGAAUUGCGAGAGUCAAGUUGUGACAGUUGGGAAUACCCGAGUAGCCCAAGAGUUCGGAUAUAGUUUCGGUAGAUCGAACAGUAAAAGUAGAUCACUGUUGAGAGAUCGCUUGGUCAGUGGCCAAGUUUGGCCUGUAGGCCUAAUAGUACCUAGAAUUGAGGUAGGUGAGUCGUGCAUGUGUGACACCCCAAUAGUCCCACAUCGGAUGGGAAUGGGGUUGUCAUUAGGUUUAUAAAAGACUUAGACACUAGUAAUAAUAACUGGGCUUAAGCAUUUUGGGCUGUUGACUGGGCCCAACGAGUUAUUAUUGCUAGUGGGCUGGGUCGUUACAGCAUGUGUGGCCUGUGUGCAUAGGCAGGGUUGCCUAAUACUCGACUUAGUGUGGAACGCUAUAGAGGCGUGGGACGCUCGAAUGCAAGUACUCGUAGAGUGCGGAUUUGGUUCAGCCGAGAGAGUGAGUUGGCAGCAGCACUUUAGCAUUGCUAAGUAUGAAGGGGGCCAUGGAUUACUCGUAGGGUUAAUGGCUCGCACUAGGUGCAUAGGAGCCUGUAGUGGUACAUGUUACUCGAUUGAGGGUGUCGUGUGAGACGACGGCGGGUAUUGCUUGGGGGCGACCCAUGCCUGGACCCUUUGUGGACUGUGGAGCCUAGGCCUUUUGGGCAGGCGCAGUCAGUUGUGAGUGACAGCGGCCUAGUACCUACGGGUAGGGCAGAGUUUUGGUCAAGACGGUAGUCUGAGCUUAGACCCGGGAACGUGGAAUGCCACGUGUUAGAUCUUGUGAUCAAGGGAGCACUAAGAGUGCGGUUGUGACCCAACCUGAGGAUUUGACAUGGUAUGAGGUCUUGGUAACUCCUGAUUGGAGUGUGUGCGAAUUUAUAAAUGAGAAUUUCGCCCAGUGAUGAUUGGGUCUACGCUUGCGAGUGAGAAACGCUAUGCGUAGUUGAGACAGGUUAAGUGGUAGGCCUACGUGGGAUUGGUGGUCCAUGGUCUACCUGUGGAAACCGAUGGUCGGUGCGGCCGAUAACUCUAUUAAUGAGUUUUGGCUUAAAUUACGAACGGAGUGUUCGUGUGUGCUCGUUGCGAGAGCGAUUUGAUAUUGGCUGUGGCAAUUAAAGAAGAAAGUAAAGUGGUCUCUAGGAGACACUUGGAUAACAGAAGCCACGUGAGAAUUGGAGCUUGAGGAUAAUGCUCUUUUGUGGAUUUAGAUUUGAGAUGUGCCGGAGUGUGCCAUCUCGUGAUAGAGCAAGGAUCCGAUGAUGGUUGGAGCACUCACGAUGGUCGAUGCACCAAUAAUAUUGCUUUUAGGCAAUUCCGGUGGUCGAAUCGGAGUGUGUCCCCGGAAGGGAGGAUGAAUGCCAGGAAGAGUUGUAUCAAACUCUUGGAUAGCCAAAGUGGUGAAGUGCCACUUUGUGAAUGCUCGAGUGAUUCGAGAAGGUCUACCUAUGUGCAUUGUGUAGCAGUGGUGGAUCGUUCGACUAGUAAAUGCGAUCUUGCUAGAUCCACACCACGAGGAUGAAGGUUAGUUCUAAUCUCGAAGGAGAGUGAUGUUCAGUAGAGUUGUGAAGGAAUGAGUCUUUCUCAAGCUAAGCAGCAGGCGGUGUUAGAGUGUGUAGAGUCAUCGAGUAUUGACUUACACUACCACCGAGGCUUGUGAAGCCGAAAUGCACUUUCGGAGUUGCAUUUAGCAAAUGUGAGUGAAUCUGGUAUCACAUCCUCCGUAGUGGGCCUUUGGAUAAUUUCGAUGAGAAAAAGGCCACUUUGAAGUGCGAAAGUGCAUUGGAACCCUCGAUUAAUUAAUAAGUCGAAUUGAGGGGUGAAUUGGAUUUGAAGUGAGUGAGUUUCGAGGACGAAACUCUUUUUAAGGAGGGAAGAAUGUAAGGAAGUGAAUUCUCGAAAUAUGGGAGUUGAACUUUAAUUAGAAUCGACUGACUGUCGAUUGGGUAUGCUUUGGAAAGGCCAAAAGCAUCAAAGAGGUCAAAAGUGCGUUGAGGAUGGCCUCCGAGAGCAAGCUGGAGAAGUUCUGCACAACUGCAGUUUUUGUGCUCUUGGGGACUAGUCCCUCAGCAGGAGAGACCGGUCCCUGUACGCGUGAAAAUGGGCAGAGCCCUCUGCCGGCGAAAAUUGCUCUCGGGGUCCGGUCCCUUAUGCAAAGACCGGUCCCGGUACGCGAAAUCUGCCAGUGCAGAGCAGUGCAAUAGAGGCAUUAUUGAGGGGGUUUUUGGCAUAUUGUUACAUAUGAGGGGUUAAGUGAGAGUUCCCUCUCUUUUUUUCUCUCAUUCCCUCAACCCUAACGCACACUCUAUCCCUCUCUCUCUAGAUUAGCUCUCUCUCUCUCAUCAAGGAGGAACAAGAGAAGGGGAAAGUAAAGGAGAAGGUGGAGAAGAAAGCUAGGAAAUGGAUCAUCUUCAUCUUUUUCAUCUUCUUCCUUGAUUUGGAAGCUUGGAGAGGUAAGCUUCUUGAAGCAACAAUGGUGAUUUCUUAGGGUUUGGUUUAUAUACUCUAAGAAUGGAUUCUUUGGAACCCUAGCAUGCUAUCUAGAUGGAUUACACCUAAUUUGUGGGAAGAUUUGGUGGUUUUUGCAAUAGUUGCAAACUAGGGCUCCAAGUGGGGAUUUUUGUAAACCUAUGGGUUUGAUCUCAAUUGACCCUCCGUAAAUUUAAUUGCUAGGCAUUCUGACGCGUUGGCGAAGUCGGUUCGGCGAUUCGUCGAGCCUACGCGAAGAUAUUGAAGAAACAGACGAUUUAGCUUCGUUUCCGCCUGGAGGGCCGAUGUGACAUCUAAAAAUCAUGAAAAUAGAUUUGUGGCAUCGCAGCAUCAAACUGUAGACCUAUAAUUUUCAGGACCGCGAAUCGACGCAGGUUGGGGUGCAGUUGCAGUAUCGGGCUGAACCAGACGACGUGUGCCGUGUGAGGCCGAUUGCAAGUGGCUACAAGCAAUCGGAACGCGAUAAUAGUUGGGUUGUGCUUACCGAAGCGACUAGGUCGCCUGCAUGUCAAAGUGGAAUAUGGAUUCCUGUUGACGCAUAUGUAUGUGCAUGUGGGCAUUGCAAAUGUGCUAGAUGGAAAUAUAGGCAUGUUAGCUUUAUGUAAAUACAUGGUAGUGGGUAAUUGCAUAAUGAUGCAUUGAAAGUAUAUGCUAGUGGAUAGAUUCAUAUUGAUAUACAUGUAUAGUGGAAUAUAUGCUAGAUGUAUUUAGCAUUAUGAAAUCAUGUUAGAUAAGAAGCAUGUUGGCAUUGUGAGCAUGUAACUAUAAACUCGAUGUGGACAACUAGGAUGUCAAGUAGAUCGAGUGGCAUUAAACCUAGUGUUAUUAAACAUAGGUUGGAAAUAAACCUAGUGUCGUGAACCUAGGAUGAACAUGAGUGGCAUUAACCUAGUGUCGUGAACAUAGGUUGAAUAUGAGUGGCAUUGAAUCUAGGGUUAUUUAACAUAGGUUGUAGUGAACCAAGUGUCGUGGACCUAGGAUGGAUAAGAAUGACAUAUGAACCUAGGUUAUGUGAUAAAGGCAUCGGACCUAGUGUUAAAUGAACCUAGGUUAUGUGAUAAAGGCAUUGAACCUAGAGUCAGUUGGACCUAGGGUGGAAAAGACAACGGACCUAGAUAGGUCGAUACUAUAGGGUUUGAGACCAACCCUUGAGAUGCAAAAUGGAUUUCGGAAUCCCUAGUGUUGUGGCCGCAAAAGAGGCGGUGGAAACUUGCUGCAGAAUGCAAGUGAAUCAUAACUGCGGGUAUGUGUGGUUCUCCUCGCCCGGCAGUGAUUCAACGGUAUGUGUGGUUCUCUUCGAACGAAAUGCUAUGAGAAUAAGCUUGAAAUGGGUAUGUGUGGUUCUCCUCGCCCAUUUAGCUUAUUGGAUGAUGCCGCCAGAAUUGACUUGAGUCAUUGUUCGGUGAGGUGUGAUGCGUUCACCGCCAUAUGGCUAAGUCAAGAGGUGCGGUGGGUUGUGACGGCAGCCAGGCUGAGAUGCAGCCAGUGUGCGGUAGUUCGCGGAUGAUUGACUCGAGGCUGAGUCGAGUGGAUAGCUUGGAUAAGGUAGUGGACACCUUAGAAGCUAGUGAUAAAGGCCAGUGCUAAGGUAAUAGAGACCUUAGAAGCAAGUGGACUUGAGUUGCGAACCUAAGGCAAAGGAAACCUUAGAGCUAGAUGAUAUGAGCUAAAGAUAGCAGGUUUGACUUGAGACUCAAUUGACAAGUUCUCGGGCGAUGUGACCGAGAAUACGAUGGAACAUGUAGCUCGAUUUACGGCCCAGUGUAUAGAAGCGGCCGCAGACCCGUUUUAAAGCUUUGAUUAUUUAAUACAUUAUUAACUAAAACAGUAUUUACUUGGUAUACAAGUUUACUAGCCAAUUUUGUCCAAAAUUGAGAUGAAUUGGAAAGAAAAUUCUAUGGGCAAUUCUAUAGGUCGGAAUCGGAGUUAUCGAUGGCCGACUUGGCCUUAUACUGACAAAAGUUGGGUGAAACAGUGGAGGAAUAUUUGAAUUGUUUCAAAAUGGUUAGGAACUGGUGUUUUAUAAGAAUGCUUGGAAUCAUAGUUCGUCAAAAUGGCGUUCAAUGGUCGACAUUUCAAGAUAAAAGAUUAUUUUGAAUAUAAAUAUUUUUCGAACUUGUUCUAUUUGGGCGUUUGAAUUGCUCAAUAUGAAUAGUUUAGGAAAGAAAACAAUGAGAAUCAGUCACGAUGGAGUUAAAAUAAGGAAUGGAACAAAGGAAAAGAGAAGAAUGUCGCUUUCAUUGAAGAGACUUCGGCUCAAGACGAGCCGAAUAUCUCAAGUGUACAUGUGUGCGCUGCUCAAACCACGAAGGCCAGCAAAAUAAAAGCAUGAAUGACGGCAUACACCUAUACGUUUGAUGUCGCCAAGACCAAUCAAAUAUUCAAUCAGUUAUAUAGGGAUGGUGGAAUUAAGCUCCACGAAGGACAAACGUUACCUUCGGGAGAGGAACUGAAGAAAAAAAAAUACUACAAAUGACAUCAUUCAUGGAGCCAUAGAACUAAUGACUGCACAAUUUUCAAAAGGCAAAUUCAAAAAGAAUUAAAUGAGGGUCAGCUAGUGUUUGCCGACUAAGAAAACAAAAGUAGUAUGGAAGUUGUUCAAAACCAUGAGCAAUUCUAUAGGUCGGAAUCGGAGUUAUCGGUGGCUGACUUGCCCUUAUCCCAACAAAAGUCGGGUGAAAUGGUGGAGGAAUAUUUGAACCAGAACCGGUGUUUUGUAAUAAUGCUGGAGUCACAGUUCGCCAAAAUGGCGUUCAAUGGUCUACAUUUCAAGAUAAAAGAUUAUUUUGAAGAUAAAUAUUUUCUAAACUUGUUCGAUUUGGGCAUUCGAGUUGCUCAUUAUGAAUAGUUUAGAAAAGGAAAGAUCAGUUACGAUGGAGCCGAAACAAGG